GUGGAACUUCUUUUGCAGGUCUCUCUCUUCCAGCACCGAGUGGAGACCACCACCACCGUUCAUCGGUAACUCCUCGCUCUCACCUUUAGCCAUGAUUGUGUGCACCUUCUCUGACGACGGCACACCAUCUCUCGGCAUCUCGUUGGCCCACUUUCAGGCGUAGCACCUAGUCGGCUCUAGGCCGACUAUCCCAAUUGGAGAAAGGCUGCAACAAUUUGGUGCGCCAUAUAGGGGGGGCAAUUGAGCAGAAAAAAAAAAUUUCUCUCUUAAAAACUUCUAUGGCCA
rnacentral:lncRNA from 1 species